rnacentral:rRNA from 1 species
AUGGGGAAGAAGCCGGGCAACGCUGGCCCUUCCUCGGCAUCCAGGCCCAUGAACCAGGCCGUGUCGCUCCGGGAGGAGACCUCUGGGAAGACGCAGGCCGACCCGCCCUCCCUGCUGAGGGUCCAGCACCUGCAGCGGUUGGGGGCGUGGGCGAGCGGGGAGGUGGGAGUUGGCUCGAUCGGGGCCCUGCUAGGCCGCCGCCUCGCCACGAAUGCCGAGGCGGCCGGGAUCCCUAUAGGCGCCUCCACCUUUCUUUGCCAGAGGUGUGAAUCAAUCUUGCAGCCAGGCUUCAACUGCACAAUCCGCAUAAAGAACAACAAAAAGAAUGGAAAGCGGCGCAAGAAGUCAAAUCCUGGCCAAAACAGUGUUGUCUAUGCAUGCCAUUUCUGUGGAGACGAAAACCUGAUACGGGGUAGUGGAAAGGGUAUCGUGAAGGGCCUGUUGUCAUCAAGAAAACCCGUUAGCACCAGCAUAAUGUUGAAAGGAGUCAAUAUGCCAACAGUAAUAACUACUAAAAAGGGGAUUGAGCAUUCUGUAACAGCAGCCUCGCAACUGGAAUCAUCCAGGUUGAAAACAUCCACUAUUGAAAAGGAUAAACAAGGUAAUGUGCCAAAAUCUAAUCUUCCUGGAGAAUCUAAAAUGGAGAAGAAAGGGGGAGUUUCCUCAAUGGUGGAUUGUGGUCUGUUAGGAGAUAAAUGUAUGAAUGGAAUUGAGCCCGCGGCUUCCAAAAAUACUACAACAUGUGAACCUGAUGUCACUUCCCAAGCAGAAUUUCUAGUUGGGUCAAACUUUGUUACUCCUCGGAAGAGCAAACUGGUGGACGUGACUGCGCCUAUAGCUUCAGAAGAACCAUUGAAGACUAAAAGUACACUGAACAGCAAAGGACAGAAUUGUGGUUCCGUUGCUGGGAAGACCCCUGGAAGUUAUAGCAAGUCAGCUUCGAAUACCAAAUCUGCACCAGGUGAUUCUAGUCAGCCAGCUGGUAGUUUAAGGAAGCGGAAAAGAAAAGGGUGGACUACACUGAAGCAGAUCGCUGAGAAGGAAGAGCUUGAGAGAAAACAGAAGAUGGAUAACUUUGUAAUCCCGUUCUUCAUGCAGUAG